rnacentral:lncRNA from 1 species
UAUAACGAUCACCUCUUUUCAGGGAUCAGCUUCCUGAUACCCUCGCCUAUUCCUGGCACAAAUUUUCUCCCCAUUAAGAGUCGAAUAAUUCAGUUAAAGAGCCUCUCUAUUUUUCAUUUAUCAGUUUGUUUGCAAAAAUGUCUGAAUUUUUGAUAAAACAUAUUGCAUAUGAACAUAAUGGUGGCUUUUGCAGAUGAUUUGCACAGUAAAACAUUUAAAAUUGCUUUGAAUGUGCUUAAUCCCGAACGGUGAAUUCAAACCGAGUAAUUCCCC